rnacentral:rRNA from 1 species
ACACGUGCUACAAUGGCAUCUACAGUGGGCAGCUAUUCCGCAAGGAUGGCGGCUAAUACUCCAAAAAGACUGUCUCAGUUCGGAUUGUCCUCUGCAACUCGAGGGCAUGAAGGCGGAAUCGCUAGUAAUCGCGGAUCAGCAUGCCGCGGUGGAAUAACGUUCCCACGGGCCUU